GCAGAUAUGGCCGAGUGGUUUAAGGCGGUGGUCUUAAGUUUGCAGAACACUUAUCACCAUUAUCGAGAGAUUCGUGGGUUCGAAUCCCACUGUCUGCA